GACGAACGCUGGCGGCGUGCUUAACACAUGCAAGUCGAACGGAAAGGCCCUUUUUGGGGUGGUCGCGUGGCUAACGAGCGGGUAACAAGUACGUAACUUGCCCUCGACUUAGUUUUGGAUUACGGCAACUGGGUGUAGUUACGGCUAGGAAUCAUUGCCGCCUGCUGGGUGUUGGAAGGAUUCGGGGGUUUGGGGUGGACUCGCGGGCUGUCAACUUGCUUGUGGGGUGGUGGCUUACCAACGCUUUGAUGGGCAGGCGGCCUGGGUGGGCGACCGGCCAAAAUUGGACUGGGAUACGGCCCAGACUCCUACGGGGAGCAGCAGGUGGGAAUAUUGCACAAUGGGCGGAAGCCUGAUGCAGCAACGCCGCGGGGGGGAUGACGGGCUUCGGGUUGUAAACCGCUUUUAGCAGGUGCGAAGCUGGGGGUGACGGUACCUGCAGAAGAAGCACCGGCUAACUACGUG
rnacentral:rRNA from 1 species